rnacentral:rRNA from 1 species
CAAUAGCGUAUAUUAAAGUUGUUGCAGUUAAAAAGCUCGUAGUUGAAUUUUUGCUUGCCGCCGAUGUCGGAACUUCCGUACGUUCGGCGGCGUGCAUCCUUGGGUGGAACCUGUGUGGCAUUAGGUUGUCGUGCAGGGGAUGCUCAUCGUUUACUGUGAAAAAAUUAGAGUGUUCAAAGCAGGCUUACGCCGUUGAAUAUAUUAGCAUGGAAUAAUAAGAUAGGACCUUGGUACUAUUUUGUUGGUUUGCGCACCGAGGUAAUGAUUAACAGGGACAGUUGGGGGUAUUCGUAUUCCAUUGUCAGAGGUGAAAUUCUUGGAUUUCUGGAAGACGAACUACUGCGAAAGCAUUUACCAAGGGUGUUUUCAUUAA